rnacentral:lncRNA from 1 species
ACUGGGCUUUGGCAUGUUUGUUCCUUGAGUUCAAAGUCAGUAGUAUUCUUGAGAAGAAAAGGCUACGGUAGUGCACCGGUUAGGAAGGACCUUAGCUAACUUUCAUGUGGAUCACCAUUGGAGGGCUUCUACUUUCGAGUCUUAUGGAGAACACCAAUAUAUCACUUCAUCCUUUUUGAUGAAAGGAAAAAUUUUAUUCCUUUUUGCAUGCUUGUUUUAUUUUAUCGAUAUCUGCAAGAUGAUUUUAGAGUUUUGGGUUCGGCUCAAUAGUUUUAAUUGUUA